UACGGAGGGGGCGAGCGUUAUUCGGAAUUAUUGGGCGUAAAGGGCGCGUAGGCGGCCCUGUAAGUCAAAGGUGAAAUCCCUCGGCUCAACUGAGGAACUGCCUUUGAAACUGCAGGGCUUGAGGCCGGGAGGGGGUAGCGGAAUUCCCAAUGUAGCGGUGAAAUGCGCAGAUAUCAGGAGGAACCCCAAUUGCGAAGGCAGCUCGCUGGGACGUUACUGACGCUGAGACGCGAAAGCGUGGGGAGCAAACAGG
rnacentral:rRNA from 1 species